CGGACCAUUAGAAAAGUGAUGGGGAGGGUGGGGAAAAAACAGAAAAAAAAUCCAUGCAAACAAAAAAGGUUUGAAAAAAAUACAUGCAAACAGACUUGUUUAAAAAAAAAUUACAAACAGAACAACAAUAGAACUUUAAUUUUAAAUGUACAUCAGACAAAAUUGAACUAAAUCUUUGGAAUAUUUCAGAAUAUAAAUAUAUCAAAAUAUAUAAUAUAUUAAUAUGCAAUUUCUUUCAAUAUUAACAGUAACUCUUAUGUAGUUUUAUUAUAUACUAUCAAAAUAUUUUCUAUUGUAUUUAAUAAUUAAUUCUCAUUCACACUGCCACUGUCCUCAGUGGCGUAACUACUAUGGGCUCGGACUGGGAGAAUCCGGGGGCCCCCAACCCCAAUGGGCCCGCAAAUGGGGGGCCCCAGGCUCAGGCUAUAGCCGCAAAAACAUUGGCCAAGGGCCUCUGAUAUGUUACAAUGGCGUUUUUUGACCAUCAGAAUUCUGUAAAAUCUCUCCCCAAAGUCCGGGAAAUGGUAUUUCAGAGAAUUUAGAUUCAAAAAUUUUCCGGGUGAGCAUGCUCGGACCCCUAGAAAACUUGUCCAUAUAUGGCGCUUAAAGAUAUAAUUUUGCAGUGUGUAUUAAAGGGAUAUUUUUUUGUCAAGAGAAC